rnacentral:sRNA from 1 species
GUUUUACAGUGCCAUAAGUCCCCAUACCCAUUGCAAACUUGUUUGCAAGAGGGAAUGGGACUUGAUGGCACGCCCCUGCAUGAGCACGAAGAGACGAAAGUCUCGAGAGUGCGAAUGCAGGCAGGAAUCGAAAAAGCGCGAAGCGCUGACGAUUCCGUAAAGG